rnacentral:rRNA from 1 species
AUUGAACGCUGGCGGCAGGCUUAACACAUGCAAGUCGAGCGGGGUGAUGGUGCUUGCACUAUCACUUAGCGGCGGACGGGUGAGUAAUGCUUAGGCAUCUGCCUAUUAGUGGGGGACAACAUCUCGAAAGGGAUGCUAAUACCGCAUACGUCCUACGGGAGAAAGCAGGGGAUCACUUGUGACCUUGCGCUACUAGAUGAGCCUAAGCCGGAUUAGCUAGUUGGUGGGGUAAAGGCCUACCAAGGCGACGAUCUGUAGCGGGUCUGAGAGGAUGAUCCGCCACACUGGGACUGAGACACGGCCCAGACUCCUACGGGAGGCAGCAGUGGGGAAUAUUGGACAAUGGGGGGAACCCUGAUCCAGCCAUGCCGCGUGUGUGAAGAAGGCCUUAUGGUUGUAAAGCACUUUAAGCGAGGAGGAGGCUCUUUUGGUUAAUACCCAAGAUGAGUGGACGUUACUCGCAGAAUAAGCACCGGCUAACUCUGUGCCAGCAGCCGCAGUAA